UUGGGCUCAGAACCUGCGAGGAUGGCAGCGGUGUCCAGCAGUGAAGACUGAAGGUGUCCACAGCUGUGAUAGGGGCUUCUGGGUCCUCUUGCUUGCUUUUCUUCACAGGAAGAAGUCCCUCCUAGCUCCUAGGGGGUUUGAUUGUGAGCGGCAAGGGUGUGGCAGAGAUUAUGCUCCAAGACACUGAAUCUGAAAGGAUGCAUCCAGUCUUGCCAAGUGGUUUCACUACCAAGGCCAGUCUCCAUCUAUGAUAGACCCAAGGAAGAUCAUUUACAACUAGAAUCUAGUCAUUUAGGAGAUUGUGUGCUCCCUGGAUGGGCCAUCUGCACUGGUGUGAGGUUUAUCUCAUUGAAGGGAAAACCAAAGGAAUCUUCUUGAAUAUCAGCACCAGGAA
rnacentral:lncRNA from 10 species